GAAACCUUGGGAACCCAAAAGAGUGCCCCUACUCCACCACCAUACCCCUGGCACCAUUCUGACCCAAGGCCUCAAUGCCAGAGGUUCCUGGUGCCAGAGCUGAAUUUUCCAUAAAAGCCUAAAGAUCACAUUCUUCACUUUUUAAGUUGUACAAGAGCCGCACAUAUACAUAUUUAAUGUGCAAUAAACGCGAGCUGCUGGAAAUUAACUAAAUGAAAAAAAAGAAUAUACUUAAUUGUAAAAAUUUAAUUUUGCUUUUAUUCUUCCCCCCCCCUUUUUACAACUUUUUAUAUUGUCUGAGCCUUUCGAUCUCGAUGGAGAUCAUAUUCUAAAGGCCUCUGCCCCUGACCUCCUGCCCGGGGAGAUGGGGAGGGGAUUAGUUUUAAGCCUUGGUGCAGUCAGUUACUUUCAACAGUCUUACAAUCAGCCAGAAGAGUACUUGCAUUUGGUCUUCCAAAAGAAUUGUAUAAUAAUUCCUGCACACCCUGGGUACCAAUUCCUACCCCACCCCACCCCAGGCCCACCAGCAGUUUCUCUAAAUUCUUGGGGAAGAGGAUUGUAUCUUACUUUAGUUUCUCUGAUUUCAAGUUCUGCCUUUCAUAAAGUGGAGAAAGGAAGACCCAUCAUGGUAUUUAAAAUCAAAAGAGGGAGGGGGGAAGAGAAGGAAGAAGAGAGAAGCAGAUGCUACUGUUAAAAUUCUAAAUGGUUAAACAAACCCACAUAUGCAAACACAAAGUAUAGGAACCCAAAGGAUCUGGGGUGUCUCCUUCCAACUCUCUGUGCCCCCUUUAAAAGGCAGGACCUCUGGGUAACUGAAACUAACAGAGAUAUUUUGGGAUAACUUUCUGAUUUCCAGAUGCAGCUCUGCUUUCAUGCAAUAUGAAUAUUUGACUCCAAGAGACAAGCCCGAAAGGAGCUAUGUCUCUUAAAGAGAAAGAAACAUCCUGUCAGAAUGGUACAUCGAGAUCCAGUCCCUUCCCAGGAGCCCACAGUCGAAUGGGAUGUAAAAUUCCACCUGGUGCUGCUUGCUCCAAUCUGAAGGACCCUUGGUUUCAGAGGGAGAAAUGGCAAGCCAGGCAAAGGCUGCUGAGAUGCACACAGCUAGCUCUUCAGUGAAUCCAGGAUGGUUGAGAUCAGUGGCUGAAGUCUGUCUGACAUGGGCAAAAGGAGCACAAAUAACAAACCUCCAGCAAGAGAAAUCCCAGACUUGAGGAUGUGUAUGUUAAGAGAUGAGGAAAAUGAGGCAGCUGUAUAAUAAAAAGUACUGGAUUUGGAGUUGGGAUAACUGGAUUUGAAUCUCGGCUCUCAUACUUCCCAAGUGACCUUAGCUUUGAAAUUCUUUGGUCUAAUGAGGUGUAAAAGCAAUGUUGGAUUUGGGAGUACUGAGAUGGAUCCCCCUACGCCUGUGACAC